UACUGACACUGGCACAUUCACUGUCCUUGUCUCCAACCCAGUCAGUCACACCAGCACUCACUAUAACCUCACACUCCCAGAUACUGCCUUGCCCUCUCGAUCUCGCACUGUGUCAGCUGGGAUUAUUAUUGCUGCUGUCUCUUUGGUUUUUGUCGCUGGUAUUUUUAUUUGUCUCUUCAAGUGAACCAGACAAACAAAUGACAGUUAAUAAAAAGUGCCAUUUAGGCUGCUGCUCCAGGAUAAACCUAUGCAAGUUACCAAGGGCUGUAUCACAGGAACCUCCAAUCUGGUCAGUACGUGAGCCAUCAAUACAUCUUUCUUUCACUGCAACAAAUGGGAUUGAGGACAAUGACGGGUCGGGGUGGCUUCAGGGGGUCCCAAGGCUUCUUGGAUGACAUUUGUAAUAUACAUGUGGGCACUAACAAUUAUCAGAUACAAUAGAACCCCCAUUUUGCGUUUUUUUAGGAGAA